rnacentral:rRNA from 1 species
AGUACGUGAAACUGCUUAGAGGUUAAGCCCGAUGAACCUGAAUAUCCGUUAUGGAAAAUUCAUCACUAAUACUAUGGUAUAUAUCAUAUCAUAGAAAUAGUGUGCAAUUUUUCCAUAUAAGGACAUUGUAAUCUGUUAAUGUGUUAAAUAUUUAUCAUAAGAUCUUUUACUUAAGUUUAUUCAAAUUAGUUAUUUUCGGAUUUCUAACAUAGAAUAAAUGUAUUAGAUUUGAUAAAUCAUUGACAGAUUUAAUUAUAUUAUAGUGCUUAAAUUUUUCGGAAUUUUACAAUGGUGAGUAAAUCUAUUGAUUUAUUUAUAUUGUAUGCGCUUAUAUGAUUAACAAUGCGAUAGAUUCAGGAUACCUUCGGGACCCGUCUUGAAACACGGACCAAGGAGUCUAACAUAUGUGCAAGUCAUUGGGUAUUUUUAAUAAAACCCAAUGGCGUAAUUAACUUAACUGUUUUAAAUGGGAUUAGUUUAUAUUUUAUUAUGAAAUAUGAAUUCAAUCCCGGGGCGUUCUAUACAGUUAUGCAUAAUGAUAUUUAUAUUAUUUAUGCCUCUAACUAGAGC